AUCAUUUUAUUGUAGUCUCAGAUGUAUUUACACCCAUUAAAAGCACACUUUAAUUGUCAAUGCUUUUCAGUGCACUGAAUUUAAAUUAAUUAGAUAACCCGGGAAUUAGCUAAACAUUAUUUUUGGGUGGGAUUUUGGAAAAUUCUGAACUGUGUAAUAUAUAACACCUGUUAUAAGAACAAAGAAUCCUAUUUUAAUCCCUAUUUUAUCUAUCUGAAAUAAAAUAUGUUCGUAAAACACUGUUGUGGGGAAUGUGUGGCCUUGUCAAGUUCAUGGCACAAGUUUCUCAUUCUUGUCCUUUAUUUCUGUUUUUUGCUUGGCUUCCACUGGAACAUUCCUGCUGUCAGAUGGGCGGAGCGGUUAUCAUUUGAGACUUACAGAGAUCUCUGUGGGAAACUAGUCAGUUCAGAUGUGUCACGAAGUGCCUUUACAACAUUGAAGAGGAGCAUUAGCAACAAAAAUGGCAAAAACAUCCUGUAAUAAAUGUGGGUUGAUGAAAAACUACUAUGGACCAUUACCGUUUAAAUGUAAGUGUAACUAUGAAGAAGAGCCCACACCUUUUUCUCUGAUGAGGAAUGCAUUGGUUGCAUCACACAGUAACAGCAGCAUCCAGAGCUCCAUGGCCAUGCCAAGAAACGGGGCAAUGACUCGACAUCACAACGAUUUGGAGCGAGGCAUUCAAACAUAUCAACGUGUAGUCAUGAAGAAUGGCAGACCUGUUGAAACCGAAGAAUUCAGGUUUUAUUCAACUGAUUAAAGGAUACUUGAAGAAUACAGAAGAGCAGUUUUUAAUGUAAUUAAAAUGUUGUGGGGUCUUUCUGUGCUGAAACAUAGAAUACAUAAACAAUGAUGACUAUUGUCUUAAUGCUUCAUAUAAAUUAGAUGAUCAUACUGUCUACUAACUAUUUGCUUUACUAUUCUUGUACGUUGCUUUACUAUACUUGUACUUGUCAGGGUUGAUAAGAUAUCUACUGUGUAUUCUCAGUGAUUUCUUUAGUCAAUAAACUGAGUUGGAAGUCCA
ensembl:lncRNA